rnacentral:rRNA from 1 species
ACAGCAGUAGCCGCGGUAAUACGAAGGGUGCAAGCGUUAAUCGGAAUUACUGGGCGUAAAGCGUGCGUAGGCGGUGAGUUAAGUCUGCUGUGAAAUCCCCGGGCUCAACCUGGGAAUGGCAGUGGAUACUGGCUCGCUAGAGUGUGUCAGAGGAUGGUGGAAUUCCCGGUGUAGCGGUGAAAUGCGUAGAGAUCGGGAGGAACAUCAGUGGCGAAGGCGGCCAUCUGGGACAACACUGACGCUGAGGCACGAAAGCGUGGGGAGCAAACAGGAUUAGAUACCCCGGUAGUCCCUGUCUCUUAUCA